UACGGAGGUGGCAAGCGUUGCUCGGAAUCACUGGGCGUAAAGGGCGCGUAGGCGGGGAGGUAAGUCGGGUGUGAAAUCCCUCGGCCCAACCGAGGAACUGCGCCCGAGACUGCUUCUCUUGAGUCCCGGAGAGGAAGGUGGAAUUCCCGGUGUAGCGGUGAAAUGCGUAGAGAUGCGGAGGAACACCGAUGGCGAAGGCAGCCCCCUGGGCCAACACUGACGCUCAGGCACGAAAGCGUGGGGAGCAAACAGG
rnacentral:rRNA from 1 species